UUAGGCAAAGAGAAAACACUCAAUUCAUAAUGUAAGAUUCAGUGCUUACUGCGCAUGGCAUGCUCAACAUUAACAUCUGUGUUUCUAGAACACAAGUGUGGCAUUGUUCCCCUCAUAUUCAUCCUUUUAAAAGUUCCCCUAAACUCAAUAUAAAAUAAACAAUGUUGUAAAAUUCCAACUUAAUUAAAAUCCUGGUGCAGAUGCAUUGAUUAUUAGGCUUACUAACGAAGAAGGGAAAAGAGGAAGGCAAAUGAACUAUCUCAACCCCAAACUCACCUCCUCCUAUUCCCCAGCAAGCAGGAGGCAAGAUGAGAUUUAUGCCAGGAGAUGAGAAGAAUUUCCAUCCUGUUUGGGUUAUGCUGAGAUGCUUUUGGAAGACACGUAAGAGAAGAAAACAGAGCGGUAGGAAAGCACGAUUUCCUAUUUACUUCUUUUGGGAAUACACAUUUAUCAACCCUGCCCCAAGGAGGCCAGAUUUCCAGUCUGAGGCGAGCAGAGCCGGAGCUUUCACAAUGGAACGGAGGGAUGGCCUGGGAGGGGGUCCUUUCUAGCCAGCGAUUUCGGCUGCCUGCCGUUGCCAUGGCAACUGCAAGCACAAAUCAGAUUCACCUGCUGUCUCUGCUCCUUUUGUUCAGAGCAAACUAUUAAGCCGCCAACAGCAGGAUUAGCAAGUCAGAGGCAUUUAGAUGAACGGGAUGCCACCUUCUGUGAACAGAUCUUGUGUUCUGUAAUGAACCUGCACCUCCCCAGGGCCUGGUUAACAUCGUAGCAAAAGGGAGCUUGAGAAAAAUACUGGUCUAAAGACGUUUAUGAUCGCACCGGGCCAAAUUUUUCUGAGAAAGAGUUUAAGUCUUUAGUUCUCAAAUCCAGCGUUUCCUAAACUCUAGGAUGCCUCAGAAUCCCCUAAAUCUGCAAAAUGCAAAUGUCCAGGGCCCACCCCCCGAAAAGCUAAUUUAGUAGGUCUGAGUCCGGGCCCAGGACUCUGAAAUUUGAAUCUUAAGGGAUUUUCCGCACAAGGAGACGACUUGGAAUACAUUCAGGCCAUCUGGCUUUAGUCGGGUGGCAAAGUGGUUUUAGGAAGGGAGAAGACGAGGACCCCCUCCCUCCCCUGCAGCACCAGCCGCUUCAGAGAACUGGCAGGGCAAGCUGUUACUUCCAAGUUCAAGGCGAAGAGAUCAAGUUGUAAUCACGUUCUGCCUUUCCAUCAUGGUUGCCCUAGGUGCUUGUUUUCACCAUAUUCAGUUUGUUAAGCGGAUACAGAAUCCCGGCAAGCACCUGCCCCCAGGGAUGGCCGUGGAAAAGAGGCUGGCCUGUCCGGGAAACCUUUCCGCAGAGUCGGCAUUUAAGGUCGACAGGAAUCGCACACGGUGGUUCCCGCUGAAGUUCCGAACAUCCUAAGGAAAACUUCGCAGGAGGAAGGCCCCGUGGCCCAGCCCCGCAGCCAUGUUUCAGAGAAGCCUUCAGCGCGU
rnacentral:lncRNA from 1 species